UCGGAUCUGCCGUAGUGUGAUAGGGGAUCCCGAGUGCUUAUCGCAAUUGUGUAGGCUUUUGCCAAAAUCAAAACCUUUGGCGAAUAAGUGGUGGGUAAGACUGGUGCCAGCAGCCGCGGUAAAUA
rnacentral:rRNA from 1 species